AAUGAACGCUGGCGGUAUGCCUAACACAUGCGAGUCGAACGGCAGCACAGUAAGAGCUUGCUCUUACGGGUGUCGAGUGGCGGACGGGUGACGAAUACAUCGGAAUCUACUUUUUCGUGGGGGAUAACGUAGGGAAACUUACGCUAAUACCGCAUACGACCUACGUGUGAAAGCAGGGGAUCUUCUGACCUUUCGCUAUUGAAUGAGCCUAUGUCGGAUUAGCUAGUUGGCGGGGUAAAGGCCCACCAAGGCGACGGUCCGUAGCUGGUCUGAGAGGAUGAUCAGCAGCAGUGGAGAGAGGACACGGUCCCGAACCCGAAGGGAGGCAGGAGUGGGGAAUAUUGGACAGGGGGCGCAAGCCUGAACCAGCCAUACGGCGUGGGUGAAGAAGGCCUUCGGGUUGUAAAGCACUUUUGUUGGGAAGAAAAGCAGCAGGUUAAUCCCCCGCUGUAAUGACGGUACCCAAAGAAUAAGCACCGGCUAACUUCGUG
rnacentral:rRNA from 1 species